AUGGCAGGCAAAAACCUGUUAAUUGAACUGGAGCAGUCUUUCACAGUCGAUGGGACUCUUCUGAACCUCUACAGUCCAGAGCUGGAGCAAACGGCCCUGUGUUUGAUGGUUAAAUUUAGCACCGUGUCAGAGACGACCGUUUAACUGAUGACAAGUGAUUAACAACCUGUACAUUACAGUCAAGAACUCAUUAUGAACUCAACUAGAUCUCCAUUAUUUCACACAGAAUCAAACGCACAGGCACCUCUGAGCUAAUUAAACACCUCUAACCCUAAAUAUGAACACCUCAGGAGCCACAUAGCAACACACUAACAACCACUCAGAACACCCCAGCAACUGCAUAGUAACACACUAACAACCACUCAGAACACCCAGCAACUGACAUAGUAACACACUAACAACCACGUAGUAACAUACUAACAACCACUCGAACACCCCAGCAACCGCUUAGGUAACACACUAACAAACACUUAGAACACCCCAGCAACCGCUUAGUAACACACUAACAAACACUUAGAACACCCCAGCAACCGCUUAGUAGCACACUAACAACCACUCAGAACACCCCAGCAACCGCUUAGUAACAUACUAACAACCACUCAGAACACCCCAGCAACCAUAUUGCAACACACUAACAACCACUCUGAACACCCCAGCAACCACAUAGCAACAUAUUAACAACCACUCAAAUAGCGACUGCAUAUCAACACACUAUAGAUCACUCAGAACACCCCAGCAAUCACUUAAUAACACACUAACGACCACUCAGAUAGUGACUGCAUAGCAACACACUAACGAUCACUAAGAACACCCCAGCAACUGCAUACAGUAGUAACACACUAAUGACCACUCAGAACACCCCAGUCAAUGCAUAGUAACACACUAACGAUCACUUAGAACACCCCAGCAACUGCAUAGUAACACACACUAAUAAUCACUCAGAACAUCCCAGCAACUAAUAGUAAAUUACAUCUCUAUUAUUUCACACAGAAUCACAUGCACAUGCACCUCUGAGGUAAUUAUUCAAUUCAAUUCAAUUCAAGUUUAUUUGUAUAGCGCUUUUUACGAUACAAAUCAUUACAAAGCAACUUUACAGAAAAUUAAGUUUCUACAAUAUUUAGUAGUAGCUUAUCAGUGGUGACUGUCAGUUCAUGUGCAUAUAGCAGAAAUGUUCAGAAAAAUCAAUAAAAAGACGUAAACAAACAGACGAUUAACACUAUUAACAGCGUAAACAAACAGACGAUUAACACUAUUAACAGCAAUUAUGCAAUCAAACUUAUAGCAAAAUGUGGUAGUUCUGUAUGUUGUCUCUGGGUUAGCAUCAUCUGAGGUCCUCUGAGGGCUUGCGUCAUCUCUUCUCAGGUGUUCUGGAUCCAGACUGGAGCUUGUGUAAAUCCUAGUUACCACGGGAUGUAAAUCCCGUGGCAAAGCAGAGAAACAAAUAGAGACAUAAUUAGCGUAGCUGCUGUUCCAGCCAAGUAAAAUUAAUUAGUUUAACCCAAGCUAAAGAAUAAUAAAGCACAUUUGAUCAGAUAUAA
rnacentral:lncRNA from 1 species